rnacentral:misc_RNA from 1 species
UGUAGCAAUACAGGAGUGGCAGACGGGUGAGUAACACGUAGGAAUCUACCCAGUAUCUCGGAAUAACCGCGGGAAACUGCGGCUAAUACCGGAUACGCCCCACGGGGGAAAGGAGCAAUCCACUAUUGGAGGAGCCUGCGUCCGAUUAGCUAGUUGGCGGGGUAAUUUUCCCACCAAGGCUCAGANCAGGUAGCUGGUCUGAGAGGACGAUCAGCCACACUGGAACUGAGAUCCCGCCCAGACGACUACGGGAGGCAGCAGUCGAGCUAGCUGUUAACUCGACCCAUCCGGG